rnacentral:tRNA from 1 species
UAGCUCAGUUGGUAGAGCGCAACCUUGCCAAGGUUGAGGUCGCGAGUUCGAGUCUCGUUUCCCGCUCCA